GCACCAGGCGUCUGGCAGGUGGGCACGCACGACUCAAAAUCGUGUGCCGAAAGGCAUGAGAGUUCGAUUCUCUCCCGCGGCACCA
rnacentral:tRNA from 1 species